AGAAGGCCCGGUUCAAAGGCCCAUGCCAAAAUCCCCCCGACGCCGCCGAGCAACAGUGAAUUUGGCCACCAUAAGAGCGCGCGCGCAAAGGAUUAGAGUUUCGAACAUAACGAUUUUGGAGCUUCCAUUUCGAUUUCGACUUCGACUUGCGCACAAUCAGUUACUUUCGCUUCUCUUGCUGUAGUUCUUAAUAAUGCACAAUUUCGCAGGCUUUACUAUUUUUCUUUUAUCUCGUAAAUUCGUAAUCUUGCGAAAGAAAUAGAAGAAAUCAUGUGCCCUUAGUUUUAUUGAUAUUCCAUGAGAUUAACUAGGCUAUUCUACGUAGCAAAUCGUUCAAUUGGAACCGUUUGGUAGAGGUAUGGUUCUUAGACAGCACAUUAUCGUUUGAAAUUUCGUAGUAAAGGCUCUAUAUUUCAUAGGGAGCAGUAACAUUGUUUUUCAUAUCUCAAAAGAACUGAGAUAAUAUGACGUAUCUUAGUCUCCAAUAAAACCUAGUUAAGGAGGGAGAGCUUUGGAGUAGAAUGUAUUGCUCUUUAGUUUUUACUUUUAAUUUAUCUGCCUCUCUAUAUUAUCUAUUUUUUUAUGUAUAUUUUGUAUACAGUUCAGUUUCUUAUUUCUUACUUUUGUUCCUUUUCCACCUUGUUCUCUGUGUAUAUUGUCCUCCGACAAAUAGUUAAACUAUAAUUAAAUUGGCCUCUAUUUUGUGGGCAACUCUCAGCAUCUUAGUUAAUUCAUUUCUCCAUAGAUGUUUUUAUCUUUGAUUGGCCUGUUGAGCAUUGUUAUCCUCUUGAAUUUUUGUUUGGAGUUCUCUCAUGCCUAUCUCUGUUACUUUUGUUGUUAUGCUAUGAUGACCCCUGGAUUAAAAAUCAACCAUAUUGCUACUCCUUGGUCCAUACCUCAUGCAACAGAUUCAAUCAAAAUUCUUACUCUGCUAUUCCAUUUGGUCUCUCAUAUUGUUUCCCCCUUACAUAUUUGCUAUCUCUCUUCUAUGAAUGCUUCUGGCAUCUGUGCUUCCUUCACAGUUCCCCUGCAAGUUUGCUUUUCUAGAUGCAAAAAAUGCCUGGGACGAGGCAGAGAGAUACAGCUCAAAAUCUAGAGUCACCAGAGGGGAACAGUGAGCUUGAGAAACCUACAGAUUCUGAUGAGCAAGUAGACUUUGAUGGGGACAAUGAUCAAGAGGAGACAAUGGAGGAAGUUGAGUAUGAAGAAGUAGAGGAGGAGGAAGAAGAGAAGUUGAGAAAAAGAAGCAUGCUGAGCUUCUUGCACUUCCACCUCAUGGGUCUGAGGUUUACAUUGGGGGCAUUUCUCCAAAUGUUUCCGAAGAAGAUUUGAGGGUCUUCUGUCAAUCCGUGGGAGAAGUUUCAGAGGUUAGGAUAAUGAAGGGAAAAGAAACCAGUGAAGCAAAAGGUUAUGCUUUUGUGACCUUCAAGACAAAGGAAUUGGCAUAUAAGGCUAUUAAGGAGCUGAACAACUCUGAAUUUAAGGUAAAAUUAGUGUAUGUAAAGAACCUUCCAGAAAACAUUACUCAGGAUCGUCUUAAGGAGCUGUCUGAACAUCAUGGAAAGAUCACAAAAGUGGUUCUCCCUUCUGCUAAAACCGGGCAAGAAAAGAGCAGAUUUGGUUUUGUUCACUUUGCUGAAAGGUCAAGUGCCAUGAAGGCUUUGAAGAACGCAGAGAAAUAUGAAAUUGAUGGACAAACGUUGGAGUGUUCACUAGCAAAGCCACAAGCAAAUUCACAUAAGCCAGCUGUACUUCCUGCUUAUCCACCUCAUCUUGGUUAUGGUGGUAUGAUUGGUAGUGCUAUAGGUGCAGGAUUUGGUACUGCUGGCUUUGCACAAGUUGCUCUUCGCCUGGUAGAAUUCAACCUUUUAGUUUUGCAGUAUUCUAAAUAAAGCUGAGGGUUGGAGGUUAGCCAGAAAUAUGCUUCCCAUGAACUCACUGCUGCAACUGUGCUGUCUCACCUUGAUAGGUUACAGGAGUGAGUUGCACUUAAUUGUAAAGCAUGAAAUUUUUUAUCAAUUUGGAUGAUUAAUGCCUUCAACUGUCCAACUUAAUUUUACUUGCUGUAAAUGAUCCCCAACUUUUAGUUUGUUUUUUCUUUAAUUUACUUGUAGAUGGACUUGUGUUGCCCUCAUCCCGUGGAGAAACAGGUUAACAUGAUCUUCAAUUUGUGGAUUAAGGGUCUCUUGACAAGUUGGAACAUGUAUUGAUAUCUAUGUUAAUUAUAUUAUCAUAUGUAUUGGUAAUAGAUAUGAAUCACAGUAACCAACCCCUUGUGGCAUGGCAAUGAUGCCGAUGAUUUUAUCAGAUGGAAGGAUUGCAUACAUAGUGCAACAGCCAGGGUUUCAACAGCCUGCUCCAAUGCCAGUAUCCCGACAUGGGAGGAGUGGUGGCGGUAGCUCAAGUGGUGGGAAAUGCAGUAAUGAUAAUAACAGCAAUCGUGGACAUGGCCGCUAUCAUCCCUACUAACUUGGGCUUUAAGGAGCUAGGAAAUGGAGGUUUGUUCCUGCUUGUUAGUGGUUUACCUCCACCAAUGCUGAAUAAAGCUUUGUCGCUGAACAGAUAAAAAAUUCUGGAGAACAAAUCCAGGGAAAUGAAAUUACAAUUCAAUUCAUCAAUUGCACUUGAGGCCUAAAAGUGUUGACGAUUCAAGGCACGGAGCCCAACCGAUUAAAAGACAAAUAGGGCGCUGCUAUGAACGAAGUUAUGAUUUUGAUACAUCUGCCUAAGGCCAAGAUUCAGUUAAGCAUCUAAGCCAGCUUUUCGUAUAAUUUUACUUGUCCUUCAAUUUUUUGUUCUCAAAUUCUUAAAGAUACCACAGUGAUCUGAUGGACACGAUAAAUCUUACUAGAUUGAUGAAAAAUUUGGUAGAGGUGUUUCAGAUGUUUUGCUAGCGGUUCAUGUAUUCAUGUUUCUAACCGUCGUUCUAGAAGAAUUGGAACGAUGUUUGAAUGAGUAUUGGUGCCAGUGCAACACAAACUCCUCUUAUCUAA